ACAGACUACGAUUACAGAGUUGAAUGGGGUUGAUAUCGCACCGUCCCGUUUAUUGCAUGAACUUUUCUAGUUUCAAGUCAUCAGGAAUGUUCUGAUUGCCCUAUCCAGGAGGCAGGAGCUAUAACGGAUCUUACUAUUUACUUGAGCUUUUUGGAGACAACAAAAAUACUUCUCAUUAUGUGGAAAUAGAUAGCAUGCAGGAUCUCAUUUGUGACAAGGAUUUGACUGCGAGAAUGCCAUUAAUUUGCAAAACUGUUUCAGCGAGAGAGAGAUUGUGAAGUCUCCUUGGUCUAGCUCCCUGCUGUGAGAGAGAGAGUUGUUCGUUCGGAUAAAGGAGUCAUUGUUAAGCCGGUGGUAUAGGCGUAGUUAUCUUGUCAAGUGGCUGCCUAGUUGCACUGCAGUAUAGUUUCUUAGCGUGUGGAAAGAGUUCUUUGUGAUGACAGAACUGGGGAGUGAUCUAAUUCCGUCAACCAGAGUUCAUAAUAACAGAGGUGAUUGAUAUUGCCCGUAGCAAGUGACCGGACACCAACCCAAGCUAAGGUCAGGUUACCUUGACAACCGUGUUUUCUCAGGUCACUCACAAAACUUGAAAGGCGAUCUCAAGGAAUUUUCUGCUUCUUAAAGAUAGUCUUGGAGCCACAGGCCCGAUUUAGUUUCUGAGUGACAAUGGGUGCGUCAAACAACAAGUUCUGUUCAGCAGAUCGUCUUCUCCCUCGCUGCGAGCCAGGGGACCUCAUCGAAGUUCUUCAUCCCUCCUCGACAUUCAACCACUGGGGCGUGUACGUGGGCGACGGCUAUAUCAUCCACGUUCGGCAUCCAUGGGUGAAGAAAGAAGCAUUGACGCAAGCAGUGAGUGGGAGACUCGUUCGCGUCAACAACGACAAACAUAAGAUUCUAAAAUACAAGCCAUUGCGAGCGGAGAAGAUUGUCAAUACGGCCUACGACCAGGUUGGAUUAGACUGGUAUAACGUUCAGUUUUAUGGUUGUGAAAUGUUCGGAAUUCGGUGCCGUUAUGGGAUUAAGGUGAACGUUGCUGAUCUAUACAGAGAGGUCAUUGCCGAACCUAAAGACACUCCGUAUGCCAUGUGUAACCCCGUCGUCAUGUACGGGCACCAGCAGCAUGAAACCGGGCCUGGGGAACUAGACUAUCAAAGUUAUGAUUGACAGCAUAUGGAAUGGCGAGAUUCACCUCCAUAGUGGGAUUUGAUCAAUGGAUUUGAUCCAAACUCAUUAUGUGCCUUGGCUGAAUUUACACCCGACUGUCAGAAGGAGAUAAUCUAGUCGAAUUUGACAGUAAUCAGUGUUCACUUGGACAACCAUAGUUUCCGGAAAUGAACAUUAUAUCAAACUUUUCUUGUUUAAAGGCAAAGCAUAUAGUGUUUACAGCUAUGAUAUAGGCCUCGCCAUGAUAGUGCCCUUGACAGAUGAAAACUGAACUGAGUGUGUGUGUGGUUUGGUAAUUUGAAAGGGAAAUGUGGUUUGUCUGUGAGCUAAUCUAAAGGUAUUUCGACAAGGUCAUGUGGGUUGACUGGUUCCACAUCAGUUCAGCUGAUAUAUAAUAUAGCAAGCGAUCUUUAAACAAAUUAAUGGACGGGGCGAUGGGAGGGGGGGGGGGGUGAAUGAUAGGUGACGUGGGUAUGUGCAGUCAUGUGCUCCGUUUAGGUACACAUCAAUGUCCCCAGCCCCCAGCCCAUAUCGAUUGAAAAUAUCAAUUGUAUAUCUUUGUUGCCCCAGGUAGGUGUUUCCAUAAAGCUGUUCGUAAGUUACAAGCGACUUUACGAACGACCGGUGGUCCUUUCUUACGAACUGAAUCAACAUCAAUGAAAAUUUGGUGUAUUAUAGCCUAUAUCUUUUACCAACUUCGAAAGUUUCUUGUAACUUAUGAACAACUUUGUGAAACACCCAGCUGGUGCGUGCACACGGAGCUUAACGUCCGUAUCAUACCAAAGAUAAUACUAUUAAUGAUCAUAAUUAUUAAUGAUCAUAUAUUAUUAUGAUCAUUUCACCAAAUUUGUUAUUACAAUUAUACUCUGUUGCUACAAUGAUACAGUAUAUGUGAUGUUUAUUUACCGUUGUAGCACACAAUGCAUUCAUUAGUUUUUAUAUCCUUAAUCUCAUAUUUUUAUGACGAAACCUCAUCUUGAGUAAGUUAUGAUCUUCCAUCACUAUAUGUUUAUCAUUAUUUUAAAAUCACUCAUUUAAUGGUGCUAUUAUGCUAUAUAUGACAUUGUGUUUAAUUAUGCAAAUUUUGCAGUUUAAUAUAUUGUGAGUUUCUACGUUAUUCCUACAAGAAUAUACAUGUACCUCCAUUGCUUGAAUUGUUUAAACUUGUCAUUUAUUAUCAUUGCAUCUGAAAUGAAUGCAUGUUUCAUGCAUAAGCCAGCAUAUUUUUCUUCCAAAUUCACCCCCGCAAAUAUCUGUAAUUCCCUUUUCCCGAAGGUUGUUAUCGAGUCGUCACAUCGCAACUCAUCAAUGCUAGUUCUCUGUCUGUAUGUUUCCAUGAUUAAAUUUCCAUGUCUUGACAAACAGCCAGUAUAACAUUUUAAAACAUAAUUUCAUUCAGGCUGUGAUCCAGAGAGGUGACACCGGGGUACAUGUCCCCUUUUGCUCAAUGCUCCCAUUUCUAUUAAAAUGCGCUUCAUUUAAUUAAAAAUAAUAUUUCUCAUU